rnacentral:rRNA from 1 species
GUCCACGCUGUAAACGUUGGGCGCUAGGUGUGGGGACCGUCUCCGGUUCUCUGUGCCGCAGCUAACGCGUUAAGCGCCCCGCCCUGGGGAGGUACGGCCGCAAGGCUAAAACUACAAAGGAAUUGACGGGGGCCCGGCACAAAGCGGCGGGAGCAUGCGGAUUAAUUCGAUGCAACGCGAAGAACCUUACCUGGGUUUGACAUCGCCGGAAAACUAAGCAGAGAUGUGGGGUCCUUCGGGCCGGGUGACAGGUGGUGCAUGGCUGUCGU